rnacentral:rRNA from 1 species
GAUGAACGCUGGCGGCGUGCCUAAUACAUGCAAGUCGAGCGAACGGACGAGAAGCUUGCUUCUCUGAUGUUAGCGGCGGACGGGUGAGUAACACGUGGAUAACCUACCUAUAAGACUGGGAUAACUUCGGGAAACCGGAGCUAAUACCGGAUAAUAUUUUGAACCGCAUGGUUCAAAAGUGAAAGACGGUCCUGCUGUCACUUAUAGAUGGAUCCGCGCUGCAUUAGCUAGUUGGUAAGGUAACGGCUUACCAAGGCAACGAUGCAUAGCCGACCUGAGAGGGUGAUCGGCCACACUGGAACUGAGACACGGUCCAGACUCCUACGGGAGGCAGCAGUAGGGAAUCUUCCGCAAUGGGCGAAAGCCUGACGGAGCAACGCCGCGUGAGUGAUGAAGGUCUUCGGACCGUAAAACUCUGUUAUUAGGGAAGAACAUAUGUGUAAGUAACUGUGCACAUCUUGACGGUACCUAAUCAGAAAGCCACGGCUAACUACGUG